AUUAUUUUGGCAGAAUUAGUGCAAUGAAUUUAGAAUUCAUAAAUAUAAAUAUUAAUUUAUAUAUAAUA
rnacentral:tRNA from 1 species